AUACGGAGGGUGCAAGCGUUAAUCGGAAUUACUGGGCGUAAAGCGUACGUAGGCGGUUUAUUAAGUCAGAUGUGAAAGCCCCGGCCUUAACCUGGGAACUGCAUUUGAAACUAGUAGACUAGAGUAUGGUAGAGGGGGGUAGAAUUCCUAGUGUAGCGGUGAAACGCGUAGAUAUUAGGAGGAAUACCAGUGGCGAAGGCGGCCCCCUGGGCCAAUACUGACGCUGAGGUACGAAAGCGUGGGGAGCGAACAGGAUUAGAAACCCCAGUAGUCC
rnacentral:rRNA from 1 species